UACGAAGGGGGCUAGCGUUGUUCGGAUUUACUGGGCGUAAAGCGCACGUAGGCGGAUCGUUAAGUCGGGGGUGAAAUCCCGGAGCUCAACUUCGGAACUGCCUUUGAUACUGGCAAUCUCGAGUCCGGAAGAGGUUAGUGGAAUUCCCAGUGUAGAGGUGAAAUUCGUAGAUAUUGGGAAGAACACCAGUGGCGAAGGCGGCUAACUGGUCCGGUACUGACGCUGAGGUGCGAAAGCGUGGGGAGCAAACAGG
rnacentral:rRNA from 1 species